rnacentral:rRNA from 1 species
AACGGCGAGUGAAGCGGCAACAGCUCAAAUUUGAAAUCUGGCUCUCGGGCCCGAGUUGUAAUUUGUAGAGGAUGCUUUUGGCGAGGUUCCUUCUGAGUUCCCUGGAACGGGACGCCGGAGAGGGUGAGAGCCCCGUACGGUCGGAUACUUAGCCUCUGUAAAGCUCCUUCGACGAGUCGAGUAGUUUGGGAAUGCUGCUCAAAAUGGGAGGUAAAUUUCUUCUAAAGCUAAAUACCGGCCAGAGACCGAUAGCGCACAAGUAGAGUGAUCGAAAGAUGAAAAGCACUUUGAAAAGAGGGUUAAAUAGCACGUGAAAUUGUUAAAAGGGAAGCGCUUAUGACCAGACUUGGGCCUGGUAAAUCAUCUAGCGUUCUCGCUAGUGCACUUUGCCGGCACAGGCCAGCAUCAGUUUGCUGUCGGGGACAAAAGUUUCAGGAACGUGGCUCCCUCGGGAGUGUUAUAGCCUGCUACAUAAUACCCUUCGGCGGACUGAGGUACGCGCUCCGCAAGGAUGCUGGCAUAAUGGUCAUCAGCGACCCGUCUUGAAACACGGACCAAGGAGUCAACCUUAUGUGCGAGUGUUUGGGUGUUAAACCCCUACGCGUAAUGAAAGUGAACGCAGGUGAGAGCUUCGGCGCAUCAUCGACCGAUCCUGAUGUCUUCGGAUGGAUUUGAGUAAGAGCAUAUAGGGUUGGACCCGAAAGAAGGUGAACUAUGCGUGUAUAGGGUGAAGCCAGAGGAAACUCUGGUGGAGGCUCGCAGCGGUUCUGACGUGCAAAUCGAUCGUCAAAUAUGCGCAUGGG